rnacentral:rRNA from 2 species
UCAAGUGAAGAAGCGCAUACGGUGGAUGCCUUGGCAGUCAGAGGCGAUGAAAGACGUGGUAGCCUGCGAAAAGCUUCGGGGAGUCGGCAAACAGACUGUGAUCCGGAGAUGUCUGAAUGGGGGAACCCAGCCAUCAUAAGAUGGUUAUCUUGUACUGAAUACAUAGGUGCAAGAGGCGAACCAGGGGAACUGAAACAUCUAAGUACCCUGAGGAAAAGAAAUCAACCGAGAUUCCCUUAGUAGUGGCGAGCGAACGGGGACCAGCCCUUAAGUUGUAUUGAGAUUAGCGGAACGUUCUGGAAAGGACGGCCAUAGUGGGUGAUAGCCCUGUACGCGAAAAUCCCUUUGCAAUGAAAUCGAGUAGGACGGGGCACGAGAAACCUUGUCUGAAUAUGGGGGGACCAUCCUCCAAGGCUAAAUACUACUGACUGACCGAUAGUGAACCAGUACCGUGAGGGAAAGGCGAAAAGAACCGCGGAGAGCGGAGUGAAAUAGAUCCUGAAACCGUAUGCGUACAAGCAGUGGGAGCCCACUUGUUGGGUGACUGCGUACCUUUUGUAUAAUGGGUCAGCGACUUAUUUUCAGUGGCGAGCUUAACCGAAUAGGGGAGGCGUAGCGAAAGCGAGUCUUAAUAGGGCGUCUAGUCGCUGGGAAUAGACCCGAAACCGGGCGAUCUAUCCAUGGGCAGGUUGAAGGUUGGGUAACACUAACUGGAGGACCGAACCGACUACCGUUGAAAAGUUAGCGGAUGACCUGUGGAUCGGAGUGAAAGGCUAAUCAAGCUCGGAGAUAGCUGGUUCUCCUCGAAAGCUAUUUAGGUAGCGCCUCAUGUAUCACUGUAGGGGGUAGAGCACUGUUUCGGCUAGGGGGUCAUCCCGACUUACCAAACCGAUGCAAACUCCGAAUACCUACAAGUGCCGAGCAUGGGAGACACACGGCGGGUGCUAACGUCCGUCGUGAAAAGGGAAACAACCCAGACCGUCAGCUAAGGUCCCAAAGUCAUGGUUAAGUGGGAAACGAUGUGGGAAGGCUUAGACAGCUAGGAGGUUGGCUUAGAAGCAGCCACCCUUUAAAGAAAGCGUAAUAGCUCACUAGUCGAGUCGGCCUGCGCGGAAGAUGUAACGGGGCUCAAACCAUGCACCGAAGCUACGGGUAUCAUCUUAUGAUGAUGCGGUAGAGGAGCGUUCUGUAAGCCUGUGAAGGUGAGUUGAGAAGCUUGCUGGAGGUAUCAGAAGUGCGAAUGCUGACAUGAGUAACGACAAUGGGUGUGAAAAACACCCACGCCGAAAGACCAAGGUUUCCUGCGCAACGUUAAUCGACGCAGGGUUAGUCGGUCCCUAAGGCGAGGCUGAAAAGCGUAGUCGAUGGAAAACAGGUUAAUAUUCCUGUACUUCUGGUUAUUGCGAUGGAGGGACGGAGAAGGCUAGGCCAGCCUGGCGUUGGUUGUCCAGGUUUAAGGUGGUAGGCUGAGAUCUUAGGUAAAUCCGGGAUCUUAAGGCCGAGAGCUGAUGACGAGUGUUCUUUUAGAACACGAAGUGGUUGAUGCCAUGCUUCCAAGAAAAGCUUCUAAGCUUCAGGUAACCAGGAACCGUACCCCAAACCGACACAGGUGGUUGGGUAGAGAAUACCAAGGCGCUUGAGAGAACUCGGGUGAAGGAACUAGGCAAAAUGGCACCGUAACUUCGGGAGAAGGUGCGCCGGUGGAGGUGAAGCAUUUACUGCGUAAGCCCCUGCCGGUCGAAGAUACCAGGCCGCUGCGACUGUUUAUUAAAAACACAGCACUCUGCAAACACGAAAGUGGACGUAUAGGGUGUGACGCCUGCCCGGUGCCGGAAGGUUAAUUGAUGGGGUUAGCGCAAGCGAAGCUCUUGAUCGAAGCCCCGGUAAACGGCGGCCGUAACUAUAACGGUCCUAAGGUAGCGAAAUUCCUUGUCGGGUAAGUUCCGACCUGCACGAAUGGCGUAACGAUGGCGGCGCUGUCUCCACCCGAGACUCAGUGAAAUUGAAAUCGCUGUGAAGAUGCAGUGUAUCCGCGGCUAGACGGAAAGACCCCGUGAACCUUUACUAUAGCUUUGCACUGGACUUUGAAUUUGCUUGUGUAGGAUAGGUGGGAGGCUUUGAAGCGUGGACGCCAGUCUGCGUGGAGCCAACCUUGAAAUACCACCCUGGCAACUUUGAGGUUCUAACUCAGGUCCGUUAUCCGGAUCGAGGACAGUGUAUGGUGGGUAGUUUGACUGGGGCGGUCUCCUCCUAAAGAGUAACGGAGGAGUACGAAGGUGCGCUCAGACCGGUCGGAAAUCGGUCGUAGAGUAUAAAGGCAAAAGCGCGCUUGACUGCGAGACAGACACGUCGAGCAGGUACGAAAGUAGGUCUUAGUGAUCCGGUGGUUCUGUAUGGAAGGGCCAUCGCUCAACGGAUAAAAGGUACUCCGGGGAUAACAGGCUGAUACCGCCCAAGAGUUCAUAUCGACGGCGGUGUUUGGCACCUCGAUGUCGGCUCAUCACAUCCUGGGGCUGAAGCCGGUCCCAAGGGUAUGGCUGUUCGCCAUUUAAAGUGGUACGCGAGCUGGGUUUAGAACGUCGUGAGACAGUUCGGUCCCUAUCUGCCGUGGACGUUUGAGAUUUGAGAGGGGCUGCUCCUAGUACGAGAGGACCGGAGUGGACGAACCUCUGGUGUUCCGGUUGUCACGCCAGUGGCAUUGCCGGGUAGCUAUGUUCGGAAAAGAUAACCGCUGAAAGCAUCUAAGCGGGAAACUUGCCUCAAGAUGAGAUCUCACUGGAACCUUGAGUUCCCUAAAGGGCCGUCGAAGACUACGACGUUGAUAGGUUGGGUGUGUAAGCGCUGUGAGGCGUUGAGCUAACCAAUACUAAUUGCCCGUGAGGCUUGACCAU